rnacentral:rRNA from 1 species
GACGAACGCUGGCGGCGUGCCUAACACAUGCAAGUCGAACGGGGAGUUAUUUAUAACUCCUAGUGGCGAACGGGUGAGUAACGCGUAGACAACCUGCCUCUAAAUUGGGGACAACACCGCGAAAGUGGUGCUAAUACCGAAUGUGGUAACUUGGUCGCAUGAAUAGGUUAAGGAAGAUGGCCUCUAUAUAUAAGCUAUCGCUAAGAGAUGGGUCUGCGUCUGAUUAGCUAGUUGGUGAGGUAAUGGCUCACCAAGGCGACGAUAAGUAGCCGGUCUGAGAGGAUGAACGGCCACACUGGGACUGAGACACGGCCCAGACUCCUACGGGAGGCAGCAGUGGGGAAUCUUCCGCAAUGGACGAAAGUCUGACGGAGCAACGCCGCGUGAGUGAAGAAGGUCUUCGGAUUGUAAAGCUCUGUCGUUUGGGACGAACGUGGAUUGUGUGAAUAAUGCAGUCUAAUGACGGUACCAAAGGAGGAAGCCACGGCUAACUACGUGCCAGCAGCCGCGGUAA